UACCUGGUUGAUCCUGCCAGUAGUCAUAUGCUUGUCUCAAAGAUUAAGCCAUGCAAGUCUAAGUACGAGCUCCCGUACAGUGAAACUGCGAAUGGCUCAUUAAAUCAGUUAUGGUUCAUUUGAUCGUACAGUUUACUUGGAUAACUGUGGUAAUUCUAGAGCUAAUACAUGCGAGAAGCGCCGACCUCGCGGGAGGCGUGCAUUUAUCAGACCAAAAACCGGCCGCGUCUUCGGGCGCGUUCGCCUUGGUGACUCUGGAUAACUUUGCGGAUCGCACGGUCUAGCACCGGCGACGGAUCAUUCAAGUGUCUGCCCUAUCAACUUUCGUCGGUACGGUAUUUGCCUACCGAGGUUCUUACGGGUGACGGGGAAUCAGGGUUCGAUUCCGGAGAGGGAGCCUGAGAAACGGCUACCACAUCCAAGGAAGGCAGCAGGCGCGCAAAUUACCCAUUCCCGACGCGGGGAGGUAGUGACGAAAAAUAACAAUGCAGGACUCGUUCGAGGCCCUGUAAUUGGAAUGAGUACACUUUAAAAGCUUUAACGAGUAUCCAUUGGAGGGCAAGUCUGGUGCCAGCAGCCGCGGUAAUUCCAGCUCCAAAAGUAUAUAUUUAAGUUGUUGCGGUUAAAAAGCUCGUAGUUGGAUUUUGGGCGCAGGCGGCCGGUCCGUCGCAAGGCGUGUACUGGACGUCCUGGCCUUCCCU
rnacentral:ncRNA from 1 species